GUCUACGGCCAUAGCACCCUGAACGCGCCCGAUCUCGUCUGAUCUCGGAAGCUAAGCAGGGUCGGGCGUGGUUAGUAUUUGGAUGGGAGACCGCCUGGGAAUACCGGGUGCUGUAGGCU
rnacentral:rRNA from 1 species